rnacentral:rRNA from 1 species
UACGAUACGAGUUUGAUCCUGGCUCAGAACGAACGCUGGCGGCAGGCCUAACACAUGCAAGUCGAGCGAACCCUUCGGGGUUAGCGGCGGACGGGUUAGUAACGCGUGGGAAUAUACCCUUUGGUACGGAAUAGCCUCGGGAAACUGAGAGUAAUACCGUAUGUGCCCUUCGGGGGAAAGAUUUAUCGCCAAAGGAUUAGCCCGCGUUGGAUUAGAUAGUUGGUGGGGUAAUGGCCUACCAAGUCUACGAUCCAUAGCUGGUUUGAGAGGAUGAUCAGCAACACUGGGACUGAGACACGGCCCAGACUCCUACGGGAGGCAGCAGUGGGGAAUCUUAGACAAUGGGCGCAAGCCUGAUCUAGCCAUGCCGCGUGGACGACGAAGGCCUUAGGGUUGUAAAGUCCUUUCAGAUGGGAAGAUAAUGACGGUACCAUCAGAAGAAGCCCCGGCUAACUCCGUG